CCUACGGGAGGCAGCAGUAGGGAAUUUUCGGCAAUGGGGGCAACCCUGACCGAGCAACGCCGCGUGAACGAAGAAGUUAUUCGUAAUGUAAAGUUCUUUUAACAGGGAAGAAAGAGGAAUUUGACGUUACCUGAAGAAUAAGCUCCAGCUAACUACGUGCCAGCAGCCGCGGUAAUACGUAGGGAGCGAGCGUUAUCCGGAAUUAUUGGGGGUAAGGGGUGAGUUGAUGGAUUAGUAAGUCUUUUGUAAAAAUGCUGGGCUAAACCCAGUAGGGCAAAAGAUACUGGAAAGCUAGAGUAUGACAGAGGGGAGUGGAACUACAGGUGUAGCGGUAAAAUGCGUAAAUAUCUGUAAGAACACCAGUGGCGAAGGCGGCUUGCUGGGUCGAUACUGACAUUGAGGCACGAAAGCGUGGGGAGCAAACAGGAUUAGAUACCCGUGUAGUC
rnacentral:rRNA from 1 species